UGUCCUCUUUGUUUCAAAGUUAAACUAUGAGUAAGUUCCUCUCAAAGUUAGUUUGGCCUACACCCAAGAAUGAACAAGGACAGGUUAGACUCUAAUCUAGAAAUCUAGAAGCAAGAUGGAGUUGGUUAGGGCAGAUUUUUUUUUUUUUUUGAGACAUAGUUUCGCUCUGUCAUCCAGGCUGGAGUGCAGCGGCGCGAACUCUGGCUCACUGCAAGCCCCGCCUCCCAGGUUCGCGCCAUUUUCCUGCCUCAGCCUCCUGAGUAGCUGGGUCUACAGGCGCCCGCCAUCACGCCCGGCUAAUUUUUUGUGCUUUUAAUAGAGAUGGGGUUUCACCGUGUUAGCCAGGAUGGUCUUGAUCUCCUGACCUCAUGAUCCGCCCUCCUCGGCCUCCCAAAGUGCUGGGAUUACAGGUGUGAGUCACCGCGCUCGGCCAGGGCAAAUCUCUUUAACUAUUAUAAUUUUCUCAGUUAUAAUCUUGCCAUGGUGGUUUCAAAAGGUGACUGGAAGAAAGCGGAAGGAAUGCUUGCCUCAUCUUGCAGACAUCAGGUGCAUUCCUGAGAAGCUACAGGUGCACAACCUUAGUCAGGCUCUGGGGAUACAGAAGUAACAAGAAGACCAGACCCUUGUUCCAAUGGAGGAGACAUCCUGGGACAUUGUCUAAAAACCAACCUGCUCCAAAUCUUAUCUCAGGCUCUGCUUUCAAAAGAACUCAAACCAGCUAUAGAAAAACAAUAUGGAGAAAAAAAAUGAACAUGUGGAAACCAUAAAGAUACAAGAUGAAUAAUGAAAUCUACUUGGUUUCAAUGAGGGUUACACAGAAGACAUCUGCUCAGUCUUCUACAUAAUAGCUCUUCAGAGACUUGAAGGGAAUUGUCAUGAGUCCUGAGACAUCUCUUCUCCAAGAUAAAAAGCCCUCAUCUUCAGUGAACACACGCUCAAGAUUCAUUUCAAAUGCCACCACCUCUUGAAAGCCUCCCUUGCUCUCUCUGGAAAGAGCUAAGCAUACCUUCUUCAGAGCUCUUCUGCUGUCUCAGCCAGCCCUUCCUUGCAUCUUUUAUCCCAAUACACUGUCAUUACAUGUUUAUAUUCAUUUGCUUGCCCAACUAGCCUGUUAUCUUCAGGGGUCCUGGCAGAUUUAUCUUUGUUUUCUGUUGGUGCAUACUUAUGGCUGAAAAAGCAGCUUGGGGUCCCUCAAAAAUAUAAACAUAGAAUUGCCAUAUAAUCUAGUAAUUCUACCUCUGGGUAUACUCACAAAAGAAUUCAAAGAAGGGUCUUGAAGAUAUAUUCGUACACCUGUGUUUAUAGCAGUAUUAUUCAUGAUAGCCAAAAAGUGGAAGCAAACCAACCUCUGUCCUUUAGAAGAUGAACAGAUAAACAAAAUGUGGCAUAUGCAUACGAUAAAAUAUUAUUUGGCUGGGUGUGGUGGCUCACUCCUGUAAUCCCAGCACUUUGGGAGGCCAAGGUGGGUGGAUCACUGGAGGUCAGGAGUUUGAGACCAGCCUGGCCAACAUGGUGAAGCCCUAUCACUACUAAAAAUACAAAAAUUAGCCGGGCAUGGUGGCACGUGCCUAUAUAUAUAUAUAUAUAUAUAUAUAUAUAUAUAUAUAUAUAUAAAAUACUUGGCAAUGGAAAUUAGUUCCUCUAAGCCUCAGUUUUUACUUCUUUAAAAUGGGCAUAGUCUAUGUGACCAUAGACUUGAUUUAAAAAUCCAUGAGAUAGUCAAAAGCUCUUACCAGGAUGUACAGUAAAACAAUUUGCUUACACAUGCUACAAGAUGUAUGAACCUUGAAGACAUUAUGCUAAGUGAACUAUGCCAGUCACAAAAAGACAAAUACUGUAUAAUCUCACUUAUAUAAAGUAUCUAGCAUAGUCAAAUUCACAAAGAAAGUAGCAUGGUGGUUACCAAGCGCUGGGAGAAGAGAGGAGUGGGGAGUUAGUGUUUAAUGGGACAGAGUUUCCGUUUUGCAAGAUGUAAAGAGUUCUGGAGAUGGAUGGUGGUGAUGGCUGUACAACAAUACAAAUGUGCUUAAUAUCACUAAACUGUACAUUGAAAAUGAUUAAGGUAGUAACUUUUAUAUGUAUUUCACCACAAUAAACGUAAUAAAAAAUAAAAUAAUUGCUGCUGAAUAAUUGAAUGAAUGAGUUUAUGUUUUAACUGAAAAAAGUAAUACCUGUUCAUCUUUGCAGAUGCUUUGCUCAGUGGAAGAAGAUAAUUUGAUGAAGGCAAGGCCAUUUCUGGUACUCCUAAAUCACACCAUUUUAAAAGCUACUUAUGUGGCAUCCACCCAGAACCUGUUUUAGUGAGAACAAAGGUGCCUUCAGCAGUUCUAAGAGGUCUGUCUAAACCCUAGUUUCUUUUGUUCAUAUUUUCUUUUUGAAAACUAAGCUCUAUCGAUUGGCCCAACAAUACUGCAGGCUUGGAGGGAGAUGCAGCCAACUUUACUACUGCAGUUAGUAGGAGACACUUCCAGUGGAAUACAACUUUCCAGUGAGACGAUGACCCCAUCUGUGUACUGUUACAUUUAUAGGGGAUAAUCUUCUACAAGAGAUCCAGAUUUCAAUCUCAAUUGCCAAUAAGUCUGUAUGUCCUUAGGUAAUCCCUGUCCCUUCUCAUCGAAUAUCAGCUUCACCAUCCGGAAACAAAGGAGCAGAUUUUGAU
rnacentral:lncRNA from 10 species